CAGCCGCCACGGGAAUACGUAGGGUGCAAGCGUUAAUCGGAAUUACUGGGCGUAAAGCGUGCGCAGGCGGUUUGUUAAGACAGAUGUGAAAUCCCCGGGCUCAACCUGGGAACUGCAUUUGUGACUGGCAAGCUAGAGUGUGGCAGAGGGGGGUGGAAUUCCGCGUGUAGCAGUGAAAUGCGUAGAUAUGCGGAGGAACACCAGUGGCGAAGGCGGCUCACUGGUCCAUUACUGACGCUGAGGUGCGAAAGCGUGGGGAGCAAACAGGAUUAGAUACCCCCGUAGUCCCUGUCUCUUAUAC
rnacentral:rRNA from 1 species